CUGUCAGUUGUCAACAAAACAAAAGUUUAUCGUCUGCUGCUAUCUGCUUAAUUUUUUUAUUUUCAUUAUUAUAGUACAAAGCAAAACCACAGGCAAAACCAUGUGUUUUUAAGAGUUGUAACAGUCACAAAUUUUCAUUUUCUAUCAAUACAAUCUACAUUCAUCAAUAUUAUAAUUUUUCUGACAUGAGAUAACACAUUUAGUUUUUUAAUUAAUUUGUAAUCUGCUUUAUUAAGGCUAAAGUGAAGAAGAUCGACGAUUAACUUAUAAUUAUAACAACAAUAUUGACAACAUUCAAAUUGUAUCAAUAAAAUAUUCUUAUGUCCUAUCACUUUUGAAUUAGCAAUUUAUAGAAAACAAAUUUUCUAAUAAACCUAAUUUAAAGUUUGUACGGAUUGUGUAGCCUAUUUGUUGCUAAAAUGGAUUCAUUACAAAAUGAGAUUAUAGGCUCUGAAUUGCACUUCCUCACUGAUAGUGACAUAUGUUACACUUCGAACAGAAAUGGAGAAACUGUGAGAUUUGAUACAAUUAUUGGCCACAUUGAGGAUAUAUUAGUUGAAGAGGAAUAUCAUAAACUGCAGAACGACUUCUUGGAGAAAUACUGGCAGGAAUUCGAAAAUGACGAAGAAAACAAACUUGUGUAUACGGAUAUAUUCAAUGAAUAUGUGAAACUUCUUGAAGAGCACAUUGAAAAAAGACUGAAUGAUCUAGUUCCAAACUUUUCCAUGGCAGCAUUUCUUGAAGAUUUGAUGGAACAGAAGGACGCUCUUGAUGGCGAAGUCUUUGAAGUUCUUCUGACGUUAGCAGAUUUCAGAUGCUUCAAAGACAUGGUUCUUGAUUUUCGAGCGGAAGGAUCUAUCCCUGUUUCGGGAAAUGAAGCUGCCUGGAAACAAAGAAUUCGCACUUCGCAGCGUUCAUGGCAACUCUUGUAGUGUUGCUACGUAGUUUGAUCCUGAACUCUGGAAUUAGAAUUAUCACAGGCCAAAAACAACGAAUUCGAUGAAGGAAGGAAGUUCGGUUGACUUCAGUGACGGAAUAACUAUUACACCUGUUAGUUUUGCUGAUUAAUAAUUAUUUGUCAAUUAUUGAAAUGUAAUCGUCACGUUUGUACCUGCACUUCUAGUCGAAUUUAUUCAGUUAUGCGACACCUUAAAUUCCAUGCACCAAGUGAAUGUAUCGUUGCAAAGAAAUCAAAAAAUAAAAAUUUUGUACUGAUCUUUUCAUCAAACUUUUGAAUUACAAUUUAUAAGAUGCUUUAUAA